GACGAACGCUGGCGGCGUGCCUAAUACAUGCAAGUCGAACGCAGUGGGGACGGGUGAGUAACACGUGGGUAACCUCCCAUCAGAGGGGAUAACACUUGGAAACAGGUGCUAAACCGAUACUGAUGGAUGGACCCGCGUUGCAUUAGCUAGUUGGUGAGGUAACGGCUCACCAAGGCCACGAUGCAUCGCCGACCUGAGAGGGGGAUCGGCCACACUGGGACGAUGCCACGUCCCAGCCUGCGACGUGAGGCAGUAGUAGGGAAUCUUCUGCAAUGAACGAAAGUCUGACCGAGCAACGCCGCGUGAGUGAAGAGGGUUUUCGGAUCGUACAACUCUGUUGUGAGAGAAGCGGUAUCUACCCAGAGAGCCACGGGUAACGACGUGCCAGCAGCCGCGGUAAUUC
rnacentral:rRNA from 1 species